GGGGCGCCCGCCUCACCACGGGAGCGCUCCAUGGCCGCGGGCGCGCGGCGUCAAGGGGAGCCGCGGCGGCGGCGGAAUGGGUGGAUCGGCGCGAACUGGAACGAAAUGGCUGCGCUGCGCUGCGCUGGAGCGGAGGCGGCGGAGCGGAGAGGAGAGAAGCGGGGGGCUUUGCUGCCAACUCCGUUGGGGUUUACCGUUUACGCCGCGGCUCCUAACCGAAUCGUCCCCAUUUUCAGGUGGGGAGUGUGCGGUGCGGCAGAAUGCGUGCAAGGGUUUUUCAGAAGGCAAAGAAAUGCCACAUCACAUUGCAUGCGGAUCAAAUUUUAUGCGUGUUUACAGCUCUCGUUAGAGUGCAAAACCUCAUCUCUGAACAGUGAACCCGUAUUCAACUCAUGGUGGAAGUGCACACCGCAGGCAACGGUGCAGAGGCUGGAAUCAACAUCAGAGACCAAGGAUCUUCUUGCAAAUCAUAUUCAGUAUUCACACGAGACGAAUCACAACGUUCCAACAUCUGACAAUAUCGCAGUGUGUAUGUACAUUUCCUUUUUUUUCAACAAAUAAAGAUCAUUUAUGUACACAUGGUGAGGUUGCAGUUGCAGAGUAGAGUUAGUUCCUGUACAAUGAGUGGCAUCUUCUACAGAAGGAAUAAAUUACAUGUCA